GUUUUGUUGAAAGGAGAGACUAUGGGUAUCAUCCCUGAUAGGUAUGGGAGGAGCCUUGAGGCUUUACCUGUUAUCAAAUACUCCAUAGUUAUGGUACCCAACUUUCUAGGUGGAUCUUACCCAAUAUAAUU
rnacentral:ncRNA from 1 species